UUGAUAGAGGACGCGGAAAUGAUCAGUACCUCACAGCAACGCCGGCAAGCGGUUGUGAGCGAAAGGCUGUUCCGCCGAAGUGGAGUAUCGGUUGCCGCCGCUAUGCUGCUGGGACUGUGUUUAAGAGACACAGCACUGUCACACAAGACGAUGUGUGGAGAGCUAUCAG
rnacentral:ncRNA from 1 species